rnacentral:snRNA from 1 species
AUCUUUGCACAGUGGCAAUAUCAUUGCCAAUGAGGUUUAUUUGAGGUGCAAUUAUUGCUAACUAAACAUCUACUCAGUAUCAUGAUGUACUAAAUCUUUAAGCACUUCAAGAAU